rnacentral:rRNA from 1 species
UACGGAGGGUGCGAGCGUUGUUCGGAAUUAUUGGGCGUAAAGGGCGCGUAGGCGGUGCGGUAAGUCACCUGUGAAAACUCUGGGCUUAACUCAGAGCCUGCAGGCGAAACUGCCGUGCUGGAGUGUGAGAGAGGCGAGUGGAAUUACGGGUGUAGCGGUGAAAUGCGUAGAUAUCCGUAGGAACAUCCGAGGCGAACGCGGCGCACUGGACCACAUCUGACGCUGAGGCGCGAAAGCUAGGGGAGCAAACAGG